AAUAAGAGGUCCCGCCUGCCCGGUGACUUUCACCAGUUUAACGGCCGCGGUAUUUUGACCGUGCAAAGGUAGCGCAAUCACUUGUCUUUUAAAUGAAGACCUGUAUGAAUGGCAUCACGAGGGCUUAACUGUCUCCUCUUCUAAGUCAAUGAAAUUGAUCUCCCCGUGCAGAAGCGGGCAUGCUCCCACAAGACGAGAAGACCCUAUGAAGCUUUAGAUAUCGAGACAGCUCACGCCAAAUAAGCCCUUUCAAGGACCCGAGCUAAGUGACCCUCUUUCUCAUUGUCUUUGGUUGGGGCGACCAUGGGGAAAUAAAAAACCCCCACGCGGAAUGGGACAACCCCCUCCUCCUCCUAGAGCUCAGAGCGCCCGCUCUAAGCAACAGAAACUUUGACCUAUAAGAUCCGGCACUGCCGAUCAACGGACCGAGUUACUCUAGGGAUAACAGCGCAAUCCCCUUUUAGAGUCCCCAUCGCCAAGGGGGUUUACGACCUCGAUGUUGGAUCAGGACAUCCUAAUGGUGCAGCCGCUAUUAAGGGUUCGUUUGUUCAACGAUUAAAGUCCU
rnacentral:rRNA from 1 species